rnacentral:misc_RNA from 1 species
GAUGAAGAACGCAGCGAAAUGCGAUAAGUAGUGUGAAUUGCAGAAUUCAGUGAAUCAUCGAAUCUUUGAACGCACAUUGCGGCCAUAGGUAUUCCUUUGGCCAUGCCUGUUCGAGCGUCAUUUACACCCUCAAGCCUAGCUUGGUGUUGGGCGCCUGUCCCGCCGUUUUCGCGCGCGGACUCGCCUCAAAGUCAUUGGCGGCGGUCGUGCCGGCCCCCUCGCGCAGCACAUUUGCGCUUCUCGGAGGCCCGGCGAAUCCGCGCUCCAGCAAGACCUUUCACGACUUGACCUCGGAUCAGGUAGGGAUACCCGCUGAACUUAAGCAUAUCAAUAAGCGGAGGA